rnacentral:rRNA from 1 species
UACGUAGGGGGCAAGCGUUGUCCGGAUUUAUUGGGCGUAAAGAGCGUGUAGGCGGUCAGGUAGGUCCGUUGUGAAAACUCGAGGCUCAACCUCGAGACGCCGAUGGAAACCAUCUGACUAGAGUCCGGAAGAGGCGAGUGGAAUUCCUGGUGUAGCGGUGGAAUGCGCAGAUAUCAGGAGGAACACCGGUGGCGAAGGCGGGUCUCUGGGCAGUAACUGACGCUGAGGAGCGAAAGCGUGGGGAGCGAACAGG